rnacentral:lncRNA from 12 species
CUCCAGGAAGUCUUCUUCCCUGACCUCCUAGAACAAGUCAAAUUGCAUCCCUUGUAGACCACCCUGCAACUGUGUUCCUUCUUUGGAGCCCUUGCCUAGAGUUCAUUUACGUGUUUCUCUUCUCUAGCAGGUUCCAGGUAUCUCGAGCACCAUGCUUUCCCACUGCUGUAUCUGCAGUGCUGGGGCCAGCCUGGACCUGGUAUAGAUGCUCCAUAAACACUCAUCAAAUGAAUGAUAGAGUGAAUAAAUGAAUAGAAUGAAAUGAAUAAUAGAGUCCCCGAAUAACUAUAUACCACCUCAGAUGUUUGGAUUGUUCCCCAAGAGCACACUUUUCAACUAGGCACCAUGAAAAUGUCCAGGCCUGACCAUUCCGACCAUGGGAGUAUGUGCCUAUGUCAUUCCCCCGGUAAUCCUCCAAAUGGUGAGCAAUUAGCUAUUCCUGACUCUGCACUUCUCAUCACCAGAGGGACCAAGAAGGAUAAAAAUCAAUGUAAAUUGUCACACCUCUGGUCAACAACACUCAGAGGAAGAGACAUGCAAGGUAAAACUCUACUGAGACAACUUUUUCACCUAUCAGAUGAGCACCAAUCUCCAAUAACGUGGUGCUGCGUUGGUGAGAAGGUGGGGAGAGAUAGGCAUUGCCACGGAGAGUAGAGGCCCUGCCGCAGGAGCCAGGGGCGUUUAGAUUAGUGCUGUUCUGGGCUAUCAAUCAAGGUCACAAAUACACUUUGACCCAGCAGUUCCACUUUUAGGAAUUUUUCCUACAGACUACUCUAGUUUGUGUUACAGAAUGUGUUUAUCAAUAGGAAAGCGGCACAUGAACUAUUAGUAAAGACAUAAAAAAUGAGGAAGCUUUUCAUGAACCACUAUUGCCAGAUCUAUUGCUAGGUUAGAAACAAAGGGAGAGCAGUAUGUAUAGUAGGCUCUCACAUUUUUUAAAUGGGAGUGAUUUCACAAACAUACAAGUAAGCUUGAAUGUGCAUAAAAUGUCUCUAGAGUGAUAAGCAAACAACAGUUAACAUUGUUUGCCUUUAAUGAAAGGAACUGAGGAACAAGUGUAGAAAGGGUACUUUUCUGUAUACUUUUUAAAAACAAUUAUUCAUUUCAUCCAAGUUUUCUUUUCUUUUCUUUUCUUUUCUUUUCUUUUCUUUUCUUUUCUUUUCUUUUUCUUUUCUUUUUUAGAGAGAGAGUAUGUAAGGUGGGGAGGGGCAGAAGGUGAGGUAGAGAGAGACUCUUAAGCAGGCUCCACGCCCAGUUCAGAGCCUGAAGCAGGUCUCGAUUUCAUGACCCUGGGAUCAUGACCCGAGCCAAAAUCAAGAGUCAGAAGCUUAACCAACUGAGCCACUCAGGUGCCCCAUAGUUUUUAUUACUUUUUUAAGAUUAUUUAUUUAUUUAUUCAUGAGAGACACACAGAGAGAGAGAGAGAGAGAGAGAGAGAGAGAGAGGCAGAGGGAGAAGCAGGCUCCAUGCAGGGAGCCCGAUGCAGGACUCAAUCCCACAACUCCAGGAUCAUGCCCCAGGCCAAAGGCAGGUGCUAAACCGCUGAGCCACCCAGGGAUCUCCCAGUUUUUAUAAUUUUACUAUAAAAAGAUACUGCAUUCUGAAGUGGUUUCAGACACAGGAUUGACAUAGGAGUUUAACAUUAAUUAAAUGU